GAUGAACGCUGGCGGCGUGCUUAACACAUGCAAGUCGAACGGAAAGGCUCCUGCUUGCAGGGGUACUCGAGUGGCGAACGGGUGAGUAACACGUGGGUGAUCUGCCCUGCACUUCGGGAUAAGCCUGGGAAACUGGGUCUAAUACCGGAUAGGACCACAUUUUGGAUGGUGUGGUGGAAAGUUUUUCGGUGUGGGAUGAGCUCGCGGCCUAUCAGCUUGUUGGUGGGGUAAUGGCCUACCAAGGCGUCGACGGGUAGCCGGCCUGAGAGGGAGUACGGCCACAUUGGGACUGAGAUACGGCCCAGACUCCUACGGGAGGCAGCAGUGGGGAAUAUUGCACAAUGGGCGCAAGCCUGAUGCAGCGACGCCGCGUGGGGGAUGACGGCCUUCGGGUUGUAAACUCCUUUCGCUAGGGACGAAGCGUUUUUGUGACGGUACCUGGAGAAGAAGCACCGGCUAACUACGUG
rnacentral:rRNA from 1 species